rnacentral:tRNA from 1 species
GGGGAUUUAGCUCAGCGUCAUAAGCGUCUGCCUUGCAAGCAGACAGUUCUGAGUUCAAUCCCCA